rnacentral:miRNA from 1 species
UGGAAUGUUAAGAAGUAUGUAUC